UCUAGUGAAUUAUUUUGCUCGUCCCUUUCUGGGGAAUAACAAGGUAUUGGUUGGCAAUCUAGCAAGCAGAAAUGUGUUCCAACUCUGCCACAGGUUCAGCAUAAGACCUAUUUACCUGAUAACAUUUUCAGCUGAUAUCCUGCUCUCCCCAAGCAUAGUACCGUGAUUACUUCAGCCCUGAGCUGCAGCUGAUGGGUGUUUAUAAUCUACCCAGCCCUGAGCUGGGGAAUGCCUGCUCAUGAAACCCGGACUGUUUUCAGAUGUGCUUACUAUGUUUCUGAGCCAGGAUGUCCUUCUGGAGGAGUUGGGGGAAGAGCUGUGUUUUAUUCCUUUGCAAUCUUUCAUGAACUACUGCUCUUCAGGAACAGAGAUCGCUUGUGCAAGAGGGAGAGCAAUUGCUUAUUGGUGUAAUUGUAGCAGUUGAAGACAGCAUAAAGGGCAGGUAACUGACAGCAUCUGUCUGAAAGAUAUUCAGAGUCUCUCCUGCUUCAUUGGGAGUGUUUGUACAAGUUGUCAGAUACUUGUCCUAAGUGGUGUUUGUUUCACUUCCAUAAAGAAGACAACAGCUCUGGACUCUGAUAAAACAAAGCUUGGCAGAGUCCCAGGCACGGUAUCUUGUUCUGGCACUACACUCAGCUUGAUCUUCUCAUUUACCUCACAGGUAUUCAGCAGGACUGCUUCAUCACAUUGUGUUAUGAGUGUUCAACAAGCGUGCUCGAGGAAAGCCUAUGUCACUUGUAGAUGUAUCCUGACACCAAGUGAAUCACGCUGCUUCACACUGCACUGAAUCAUUGGCAUUCAGUCUUCAAAAGCCAGGAGUGUACAUCUUUGGGAGACGAAGCUGCAAAAGAAUUUUGAAUAGUUUGAACCUGGGGGUGCUUCUGGCUCAGCUAGUAUCAAUGACAUGUUGGCUUUGGAAAAUGACAAACUCCUCAGUCUGGUGCUGGAAGAAUUAGAAGGGUUUGAAACGUGGGAAAAUAAUGGAGAAACAGCUUUGAAAUGGUUAUUCAUCUCCUUCAAAUACACCCACUGGACAACUGGGACAGAUACAAGCUUCAAAGGAAGGUACCUCCCACUGAGCCCAGAAAACUUCAGUGACAUCUGGGAGAGAAGUGAUGAAACUGUACCUGGACAACUACAUUAAUACGUAACUUGUUGGCAGCAUGGGCUGUGUUAUGUGCGGUCUGCCUGUUCCUGCUUUACCCAGAGAGCACCAACAGUAAGCUGGACCAUCCUCAGCUGGCUGCAGAAUUCAGGUUGCGAGAGCUGCCCUGUGGCAAGUGAACUGCAAUGUGAGUGAGCUUCUUGAGUGCUGUCCUUACCUGGGUGUAAAUGUGUCUUGUGUGGCAUUACAGUCCCACUUUCUUUCACUUCUUCUAUUCCUGUUGGGACCAUGCCACUGUGCAAGAAGUGUGACAGUUCUGUUGGGAGCUGAGCUCCAGUUUUGUCCAAACAAUCAAAUACAGAGGCUAACCUCGCUUGAUGUGAGAAAGAAAGAUUCUUUGAAUGGCAGGAGAUGUGAGGUGGCUGUACAGAAGUCUGUACAUAUGUGAGGCACUGCACAUGCAGUCUGCAGAUGAUGAUGUGAGUGAAGGCUUCCCCUUUACGGAGCUGAGGUGUUUGCAAAACCACAUGAAGGGGUGGCUGGAUAAGCUCUUUCAUAUUGCCCACGACUGUGCGUAUUCAUCCACCUACUCAGUCAACAUUUUAUGAGGGAUAAUCUAUAAUGGUUAAUUAACAGACUAUAUACUGUUUCCCCAGACCAUCAUUUUUUCUUGCCUUGCAUACUGUAUAAAAGGUAGAAGGGAAAUUCUGCCAAAUGACGGCAUAUCCUCUUUUGCAACAAAUGGAGAAGCAUGCUGGGUGUGAGGCCUCCUAACUGGACAUGCAGGUGCUUCAUUUCAUCUGCACCUGAAUUUGGAAGCAUUGGAGUUCCAGCUGCUCACCUUUCAUUUCAAGGUUUCUGAAUUGCUUUAAUGAAAAAUGAUUUGAUUUUAAAGAUGAAAGGUCAGACUGUGCCAUCAGUUUAAUUGGAUUUGGCCGUGGCCACUUUGACGUUCAUUUGUGAUAGGAAAAACAGACUUAAGGGAUUUCAAUCACUCUUAAACUCAUAAACGGAGGGAAAAUGUUUCCUGCCAUCGGUCAAUGAAAAUUGGUGA